UUCUUGAUUUCUUCACAGCCCUUCUUUUUCUGUUUUGAUUAUUUUGCUGCUUUGUGCUAAACAGCUUGUUUUCAUCACUCCUACCUUUGUCUAUCCUUCUACUUGAAUGAAUUAAUGUAUGAAAACAGAAAGAGAGUAGAAGAAACAGCUAUAGCUUUUGGUCUUAUGGUCGUGUAAAUAUGUUUUUUCGGUGGGGCUAAAAGAUCCAGUUGAUUAGGACUUCAGUUUGAUCACCCAAAUCUCUCUUUUUUUCUCUUAAAAUAUAAACCAUCUUAGCUUGCCUCUUCUUUCAAUCUCAAAUCUCCAUUUCCUUUUUCUUACUUCUUAGCUAAAAUUCUUUGGAUAUUUCUUCAUAUUUUCUUGAUUCUUGUUGACAAUGAUCACGGGCAGAUAAUUUUUCAGUUCAACCAUGCUUUCUUUCUUUUACUUAGAUAAUUAUUCGGGCUGUUUUAAAAGUUACCAGUUAUAUGUAAGAAGUUUAAACGUAAUUUCUAUCUUAUAUGUAGGUUACAUUCACAUAAUAUGCAUAUGCCUGGCUCCCUGUAUGCCAUUUGCAGAGCUCAUCGGAAUACCGUUGGGUCCCCGUGAAUGGCGUAUGAGGAGCCAAGCAUAUCCCGGAUAUAUAUGGUAAUCUAACUACCUAAUUCUAAUAUCUGUUUUGUUUAUCUUUCUUUUUUUGUUGAGAAAGAGCUGUUUUUUUGUGGGUAAGAUAUUGAAGGUGAAGCAUCGGAAAGGGUACUUAACUUGACAUCUUAAUUCCAACAGGUUAAAGCUUGAUCUUGAGUUAUAUCGAACCGAGGUGCGAAGUUACAUUAUUGAGCUCGGGACUGAACAAGAUUUGAGGAAAAUUUGCCGAAACAAAUAACAGAAGGCCGAAAUAUCCGUGAUCGGUUGGAGAUCACGGCGGAAAUCCUAGCACUUAUCAAGGAGAGGUCGAUUAAUUAGCAAAUCAUGAGAUUUUUACCUUGUAUAGAAUUGUAUCAAGAGUAGGACUCCCCUACUAUAUAAAGGGGGUCUGAUCAUUUGUAACGCAUAUUGCAAUACACAGCACAAAGCAAUAUACUGUCAUUUCUAAUUGUUAUCA